AUCCAGCUGAUGAGUCCUAAACAGGACGAAACGAGUUUCCUGGAU
rfam:Schistosoma rodhaini strain Burundi genome assembly, scaffold: SROB_scaffold0000911